CACACUCCCACCCCACCACUCUCUCUCUCUCUCUCAUCCCUAAAAAAUACUCUCUCACGAACUCACAUGUUCCUCGGUCCACCCCACCCCGGCUCCUCUCCCCACGAUCUCCUCGCCGCCUCCACCACCCACGCCGGCCGGUUCCGGCGAGCAUCGGUCGCGCGGAAUACUCCUCCAAGCUCCGCCCCUCCCUCCCCUCCGUCGAGAUCCGACAUGGCUGCAGUUCUUACACGGCCACCCUCCCCUCCACCGUGCUCUCGCACCACUUCAUCCCGCUCCUUCGCCGCCAGGCCCGCCGCCGCCGCCUCCUUUGCCUGCGGCCCGCUGCGCGCCGCCGACCGCCGGGAGAUCUGAGGCUCCAUCCCAUCCCGGCCGGGCCAGAUCAGAUCCGCGGCGCGAUGGAGUGGGAGACGGUGCAGCACUUGGACCUCCGCCACGCCGGCGGCCGCCGCGGGGCCGGCCCGCUGCAGCCGCACGCCGCCGCCUUCCGCGCCUCCCAGGCCAUCGUCGCCGUCGCCGUCGGCACCCACGUCAUCAGUACGUCCAGCCUGAUUUGAGCUUCCUGGACACUGGACAGCCACAAGGCAUGCCUUGGCCGCCAUUGAGCAGAAUGCCGCUGGUGGCCAGUGGCGACAGAGUGCCGUCUCAGCGGACAAGGGAGUAUCAAGCGAUACAUCAUCAUCAUCAAGCGAGCAUGGGAGUUCUUCCUGCAAGCAAGUAUCUCAUUAUCCUUACCUUCAUCUGGACCACACUUGCAUUUUUAAAUCUCUGGAGAGUCAACGUCGACCCCGGCGCUGGUGCAGGAGGUGUCCAUGGGCAAUGUCCUCAGCGCAAAGCUCGGCUAGGCCCCGGCCAGGCAGGCCUCUCUCCGCGUCGCCUGCCCAACACCGUACCCUGCACCACUGUCAACAAAGUCUGCUCGUCGGGGACGAAGGGUAUCCAUAUUUCAUCUCUUCACCUGCAAUGUCUCCAUAGUUACUUGUCGCCGCUGCUAAAAAACUUAUGUUGUUGCCUGUUGGCCUGCUCCUUGCUAUCUGAAGUAUAUAUUUUUUGUCUAUCGCUCAUUCGCUAUCUGAAGAAUUUUAUGAAGGUAAUUUUAGUGUGUGUUUAGCUUUCAGUUUUUGCUUCUACUUCACAGAGUGGAAGAUCAUAAGAAAACAUUGGAUGAUCUUUAACAAUUAUUCUUAGAAGUAAACCUGAGCAGUAUUUGAUGAUAUAUUGUGAGUCACCAAAAAUGUAUACCGUUUUUUCUUCAGGAUAUGGAUGACUAUAUGAAGGGAUGCAGGUUUCUUCCCAAACUUAAGAAUGAGAUACCUGGUGAAACAAAUGCUCCCUAGUCCCUACAGGGAAAGGUUGAGCAGCCUAGAGAAUUUAGUACUAUUCAUGGGUGAUCGACGAGGACUACUGCGGCCUGAUGGGAGUCGUGCUCUUCAACUACUCGGAGGCAGACUUCACCGUGAAGCCCCGCGACCGCGUCAUACAGAUUAUCGUCCAGGUGAUUGCGACGCAGGAGGUCCCCGGGGUGGAGGACCUCGACGCCACCGUCCGGAGGUCACCGAGGUGGAGGAUGACGCCACCGUCUGGAGUUCCUCAAGGUGGAGGACCUUGACGCUUUGUACAUACAUAUAGAGAAGUGGUCUGGUUAGGUUGGUGGUGAAACGCUAGGGAAGGUACCAACCUUUUGAUGAUGGUUGUGUGCAUCCUCGUGAUCUCUUCGAGUUGAGAUGUUCAAUGUUGCAUCCAUGAACACUGCAAGUGUUAAAAUGGUUCUGUGAAAUUUA